GCAGAGAGUGCAGACAGUCUGGAUCUGCCUCUCCGAGAAAUGAUUCAUGUCCCACGUGCGAAGGACCAAGAUGGCCCAAGAUUUCAUCACACUACUCAGAAUAUGGCACAAUUUAGAAUUUAUGAAUUCUUUAUUUCUGAAAUUGCUCAUUUACAUCACAAUGCCUAUAACUAUGCAUCCCUUUAUCUCAUGACAUAGACAUUGUAUCGUUUCACAUCAUCACAAGGAAAAGGGUCAAGUAAGCUGAGUAAAAGGAGGAAGAGGAAAAGUUGGUUUUCCUGUCUCAGGCAUGGCAGAGUUGAACAAAAAUUUGCAUGGAGGAUGUUGAAGAGACCUGGGCCAGCAUGCACAGUGAUUGAGCCAGGAAGUCUCAGAGUGUCACCACGGGAUUCCAGUCCACCCACGUUCCACAUGCACUUUGGUACCACCUGAUUGCACUUGCCUACUCUGACUUAAAUAUCAAUGAGGAUCCUCCAUCCUUCAGCUGGCUGGAAUUUCCAAGACAGUGGCCAUGAUUCCAGGACCCUCCCACUUAAAUGGUCUGUCUAUAAGACAUCUUGAAUGAGGACUAAAAGACAUGGAGAUGUGGUGGUCUUUACAGAUGAGAUGCUACUAGAUUCACGGUACCCAGACUCCCAGUGCCAUUGCCUUUCAAUCCCCAUAUUUUUUAACAGUGUCAGGUGUCUUUCCUCACCCAGAUGAGGGGCUCAAUGUGAUUAUAUCUUCUAUUUCUUCUGUAACCACAUCCCAAUGAGCUUGACCUAAACAUAUUUUUAAAAUGCUUAUCUAAUGCUUCACGUAUAGUUGGUACCAAAUAAAUGUGUGCCUCCUGUGUGACUUUCUCCCUUCCUUCAAAGCAUAGGUUCUGAAGCUAAAAUCGCUCUUACUAGAUAAACAAUCACCUUGUUGGCAGGCACCAGUGCCUGACACAUAACAAGCACACAAUACAUGUUUGUGGAACCCAGUGAUUUUGAAAGUGAAUCCACAGUUUACUGGUCUUUACUAAAACUCCGA